AUGGAUGCAGAUAAUUUAAUAAACACUGAUAAAAAGUAAAAAAAAAAUCCUGAUUUAUAUUCAGACAGACCUGGGUUCACCUCCUGACUUCAUUUAUGUUAACAAUCUUUGUGACCUGGGUAGGGUAUUUAAUCCUCUUUGAGGAUUAAAUUGGUAAAGGGAAAUAACACUUUGUCUGGGAAAUUAUACUCAGUAAAAAGAAGUAUAUUAUUUAUUUAAAUAUUAUAAAUGUAUGUAAUAUUAGUAAUGCUUUGUUCUUGUAUGUUACAUGUAAUAAAAAAGGAUGAGGUCUAGACCUAGUAACUCUGAUCCUGAUUAAACUUGAUUUCAGAUACCAAAAUACUUAUAACACAAUAUUUAUUAAAUACUAUUUUAUUUAUAGACCAAGCCUGCAUAAACUGACAGAUCCUCUGACAUCUCGUAAUAAGCUUAUAGUUAAUAAAGCCUCCAGGUCUUUUAAUCUGACUUGCCGCCGGGCUCUGUUUACUUGCUGAGGGUAUUUCUGAACCUAAAUGUAGGCCCUUACCUCUGUAGAUUCAUCUUGUUUUCAAUCCAGUGUUCAUCUAUUUGGUAUAAUUAUGAAUUCCAUCAUUGUGAAAUCAUUGUUCCUGUUUCUGUCAGACAUAUCAUCUACUUAUUUGAUACCACAUUUUAUGUCAGUAUCUAAAUUAGAGAAAUAAAAAUUUGGGGGCUAUAGGUUACUUUGGAAGUCAUCUAAUCCAUUUUUUCAAACCACAGUUCAUGCCCCAUUUUUGGUAAUGAAAUCAACUUUUUGAGUUAUAAUCUACAUUAAAAAUAAUGACAUAGAAUAGGAAAUAUCAGGGGGCAUUGUGUUAUAAGGGUGUUAUUUUAUGAAACUUUUGUUUUAGUUACACACACCAACACAUAUAUGAUUAGCGCCCCUCGAUCAUAUUUCUUAUUAUGGAUCACUGUUAAGAAGUUUGAAGGUCACUGAUUUAGUCUACUUAUUAGAUGGAAGAAAAGGUUCAGUGAGAAUAAACCACUUCCCCCCAAACAUGUCUAUGCUAAUAGUGUCCUAACAUAAAACAUGAUUAUUACAUUUAAAAUCCUACUAGUUUUUUUGUGUAAUUUAAAAUAAUGAUGAAAUUGUCAGGAGAUAAAGGAGCACAGACAAAAAAGCCUCAUGGUGUUUCAUGUUAGAGUCCAUACUUCAGGUUAACGUUAGCUCAUUCAACAGUACUCUGUAGAAAAAAAUUCAUACAGUUUAAAAUCUUAUCAAUUCAGAGUUUUCAGUCUUGUGGAAAAAAAGCAUCAUUAACUUUGUCAUGUAUCUAUCAGACUAAUAAUCCUGCCAGAGAGUGAAGAGGGUAUCUUGACAAGAAUUUAUCAAUGAUUGUGUUUUUGUUUUUAGAACAAACUUUGUUUUCUAGAUGCUUCUAACCCUUUCUGUUAAUUUCCAGGGUCGAAUAAUCAAACUUCCUAUCUUGUAAUUUUGGAAUCUUCCCUACAUAUACAUAACUUUAAAAAAAUCAAGCUUGGGGCAUCUGGGUGGCUCAGUCAAUGGAGCGUGUGACUCUUGAUCUCAGGGUUGUGGCUUCAAGCUCCAUGUUGGGUGUAGAGAUUAAUUGAAAAUAAAAUCUUUUAAAAAUAUAUAGAAGAUGUGCAUAUAUAUAUGUGUGUGUGUGUGUGUGUGUAUAUGUAUAUGUAUAUCACAUACGUAUACACACAUACAUUCAUAUAGUGGAAUACUGCUCGGUGAUUAAAAAGAAUGAAAUCUUGCCAUUUGCAACAAUGUGGCUAGAACUAGAGUGUAUUAUGCUAAGCGAAAUAAGUCAGUCAGAGAAAGAAAAAUAUAUGAUCUCACUCAUAUGUGGAAUUUAAGAAACACAACAGAUGAGGGGCUCAGUCGGUUAAGCAUCUGAUUUCCACUCAGGUCAUGAUCUCACAGUUCGUAAGUUCGAGCCCCGCUUUGGGCUCUGCACUGAAAGCUCAGAGCCUGGAGCCUGCUUCCGAUUCUGUGUUUCCCUCUCUCUCUGCCCCUCCACCUCUCGUGCUCAGUCUCUCUCUCAAAAAUAAAUAAACGUUAAAAAAAAAAAAUACAAAAGAUGAACAUAGGGGAAGGGAAGAAAAAAAUAAGAUAAAAACAGAGAGGGAGGCAAACCGUAAGAGACCCUUAAACACAUGGAACAACUGAAGAUUUGCUGCUGGAGUGGAGGUAGGUGAGGGGAUGGACUAAGUGGGUGAUGGGCAUUAAAGAGGGCACUUGCUGGGAUAAGCACUGGGUGCUGUAUGUAAGUGAUGAAUCACUGGGUUCUACUUCUGAAACCAGUACUCCACUUUAACUAACUUGAAUUUAAAUACAUAAAUUUAAAACUCACUCAACCUGAGUAUAGACUUGAGCUCUCAUUAAUUUUCUUGCCAUGAGCAUGAUUUUCUAGAAAGGAUUGUGUUGUCCUCGUUAGUGAGUGUGUGCGUUUUUAAUUUUAGCUUUAACAUUCUUUGUAAACAUAACUUUUUGUAAGUCUUUCUAGUUGGCAUUUACCAAUUAUUGUUUACACUUACUAUGUGACAGAUACUUUGUAAUUCUUUCUACUUGGCAUUUUUUUUUGUCUUUAUAUUAUUUUUCAGUCUUGUCUAGUCAGUUCAUAUUUUUCAGUCUUGUCUACAAAAGCAUCACUAAGUAUUGUCCAGUAAUUCUUACAAUACAUUAUGGUGUUUAUAUAACUGUUUCCCCUGCUAUAUUGUAAAUACUUGGAGAGCACCUAAUCCAGUGAUUCUAAAUAUGUAUUUGAGUUGGAUCACAAAACUCAUACUCAGACAUCAGUGGUUUGUACAUUCCUGUGUUUUAAAGAGUUGGAAGUAGAACCCAGGUCUUCUGAUUAUCAAAUAUGU